GACGAACGCUGGCGGCGUGCCUAAUACAUGCAAGUUGAGCGAUGAAGCUUGGUGCUUGCCCCAAUUUGAAGAGCAGCGAACGGGUGAGUAACGCGUGGGGAAUCUGCCUUUGAGCGGGGGACAACAUUUGGAAACGAAUGCUAAUACCGCAUAACAACUUUAAACAUAAGUUUUAAGUUUGAAAGAUGCAAUUGCAUCACUCAAAGAUGAUCCCGCGUUGUAUUAGCUAGUUGGUGAGGUAAAGGCUCACCAAGGCGAUGAUACAUAGCCGACCUGAGAGGGUGAUCGGCCGCAUUGGGACUGAGACACGGCCCAAACUCCUACGGGAGGCAGCAGUAGGGAAUCUUCGGCAAUGGACGAAAGUCUGACCGAGCAACGCCGCGUGAGUGAAGAAGGUUUUCGGAUCGUAAAACUCUGUUGGUAGAGAAGAACGUUGGUGAGAGUGGAAAGCUCAUCAAGUGACGGUAACUACCCAGAAAGGGACGGCUAACUACGUG
rnacentral:rRNA from 1 species